ACUCAGAGCUCUAGAGACAUAGACUUGAGAGUUGCAGUAGGUCCGCAGUCUGGAAGACAAGGAGAGAAAAAGGAAGAAGUAAAGAAACUUGAGCAUCACUGACAUAAACAGAAUCUCAGGAGAGGAUUCGGUCCUGAGAGCCCUGAGAGAAAAGCCUUUCAAGAUGGACAGAGCUCCAAAUACUCCAAGUCAAUCUGAGUAUUUGAUUUCUGAAACUCAAGGACAACAUCUAGUACAGAAGACCCAAAGGAAGAUAAUCAUGGACCUAUGUCAACAAUGGCUGGAAAUGGGUGACAACUUCACAAAAUCAGAAAGCUGGAAUUCUGGUGCACAGAAACAACCAGGAUGCCUGUGAUCAAAAUCAUCUUGAAGUUGAAAGGAAGACAGAGAAGAGAAAGAGAGGAGGAGGAGGAGAAAAGGAAGAAGUCAUAGAAGAGAACUUGGAAAAGGAGAAGGACGAGAAAGAAAAGAAAAAUAAGAAAUGAUACCAGAAGAAAAAAUUUGUCAGCAGACCCCUCAUGGACACUCUCUGGGCAAUGUUUAAAUUUAAAAAAAAUCCCACAUUUCAGGAUAUUUCAUCACUUGCACUUGAAUUUAGCAUGACAGAGACUCAGAUAAACCGAUGGUUUUGUACAAAGAGGAAGAUAUACAAAAAAGAAAUACACUGGAGGGCAUAUAAAAACAGAAGAGACCCAAAAUGAGGAAAUUGAAUUGUUAGGAAAGAAUGUGAGGACUUUCUUGAUGGUGCAGUGGAUAAGAACCCACCUGCCCAAUGCAGGGGAAAAGGGUCCAUCACUGGUCUGGGAGGAUUCCACAUGCCAAGGAGCAACUAAGCCGGUGAGCCACAACUACUGAGCCAGGGCUCUAGAGCCUGACAGUUGCAACUAGUGAUCCCCGGCACCACAAGGACUGAAGCCUGCCCACCUUAGAGCCAGUAUACCGCAACCACUGAGCAUGCGUGCUGCCACCACGGAAGUCUAUGGGCCUGGAGCUGUGCCCUGCAACAAGAGAAGCCACUGCGAUAAGAAGCCCAGGCACAACUAGAGAGCAGCCCCGUUCUCCAAACCCAGGGAAAGCCUGCCGGCAGCACUGAAGACCCAGUCCAAUCGAAAACAAUUAAACUUUUGAGUUAAAAAUUAAAAAAUGUGAUUUCAUCAACAA